rnacentral:sRNA from 1 species
GUGCGGCUUCUACUGUUGCUGCUCACGCCAGACGCAAGCUCUCUAGUCCUCUUCUUGCGGCUCCUCCCUCCAGUCAAGUUCCGUCCCGGCUAGU